CACAAGCUGUAGAAACAAAAGAAGCUAAUUUUGCACCUUCACUGUUUGUGAGCUUCUCAUCUGCAACACUCUUGAAUAGGCAAGAGUGUGAGGCCUCAGUUUUGAAUAAAAUAUAGAAAUUUGACUAUUGAAUGGGACUAAUUGAAUACCUUUCAUUUUUUACUUAAACAUUAUCAGAGAGGUUAUGAAGCCUUCCUGAAUGCUCAUUCAAGGUUGUACAAGAAGGAUGGCACCAGCAUCUGCAUCUGAUGAGGACCUCAGGGUGCUUCCACUUGUGGCGGAAGAAGGGUAGCCAGCAUGUGCAGAUACCACAUGGUGAGAGAUGAAGGAAGAGAAAGAGGAGGAAGGUUCCAGGCUCUUUUUAACAAUCAGACCUCACAGGAACUAAUAGUGUGAGAAGAUGUUUAACAUAUUCUAAUAAGAUAUUCCUAAUAAACUGCCAUGAGAUAA